rnacentral:rRNA from 1 species
GAUGAACGCUGGCGGCGUGCCUAAUACAUGCAAGUCGAGCGAACAGAUAAGGAGCUUGCUCCUUUGACGUUAGCGGCGGACGGGUGAGUAACACGUGGGUAACCUACCUAUAAGACUGGGAUAACUUCGGGAAACCGGAGCUAAUACCGGAUAACAUUUGGAACCGCAUGGUUCUAAAGUGAAAGAUGGUUUUGCUAUCACUUGUAGAUGGACCCGCGCCGUAUUAGCUAGUUGGUAAGGUAACGGCUUACCAAGGCGACGAUACGUAGCCGACCUGAGAGGGUGAUCGGCCACACUGGAACUGAGACACGGUCCAGACUCCUACGGGAGGCAGCAGUAGGGAAUCUUCCGCAAUGGGCGAAAGCCUGACGGAGCAACGCCGCGUGAGUGAUGAAGGGUUUCGGCUCGUAAAACUCUGUUAUUAGGGAAGAACAAACGUGUAAGUAACUGUGCACGUCUUGACGGUACCUAAUCAGAAAGCCACGGCUAACUACGUG